GCCGCCCCGCCGCCCCGCCGCCCCGCGCCUCGGAGUCGCCGUCUGCGCCACAGCGCGCGGAGGGCCCCCCCGGCUCCCCGCAGUCACGCUGGAACGAGUCUUACCAGCCGGGAAGACCCACUUAUCUCCGGGGAGUCUGCCCCUCGGUCUUCAUGCUCCACACCGAGGGACAGCGGCGCGCUUGCCCGGCUCCCGGUGAAGACGAUCCUCCGGGAGACUCCUGUUGCACGGAGCCUGCCCCCAAGAAACGACUCCUUCUGAUGCCACCGGAAGGCUGAACAACAAGUGACAGGAGCUUGAGCUCUCCUGUUCAGAUGAAAGCGGCUGAGGGGAAGCCGAGCUGGAGAACUCCCACCUCUAGAAGCGCCUGCCCCCGCCCACAGCAGCUCCUAGAAGUCACUUGUGGCUCUGGCCUCCUUCCCUGGGCGGUGCUGGAGUGGACCUUGCCAGCUGGUCCUCGGAGCUGGGCAGGUGGACAAACCCCAGGGAAGCCGCCCCAUCGGCACCCAGUCACAGAUGCCUCCUCUUGGCUAGGGGCAAAUGACAGAGGUAGAGAGACUGGAGCCCCGAGGCUUUGGUGGUAACUUUAAGCGAGAGCAGUCCUAGAGGGGAGGAACAGUGUAGAGCCCCGUCAGCAGAUCUGGAUUAUAAAUCAGUCCCGACAGGAGCUUUUGUUCUGAGUUAAAACUUGGCAUCUGAAAAUGGAGACCAGAAGAGUAGUGGAGAUAAUUGGGAAAAGCAGCCCAGUUUGGAUUCAGUAACAAUCGGGUCUUUGCUGGUACGCAUAAAGGCCCCUUCUCCCCCACUGGCCAAAGCCACAUUUCCCAGCUCCUUUCCACCAGGGGAAAAAAAAAAAAAAAAAAAAAAAAGCUGUGGUCUUGGAGAUGCUGGAGAUAGAGGGCAAGCCAAGUUAACAGCAUGGGAUGGGCAGGGAAGGUUCUGUGCUUCAGCUGGCCGGGAGGGAGAUGUGUUUGACUCCUCUUCCAGGUUAGAUGCUGUGAUUAAGUGGAGGUAGACUGAUAGGCAAAUAUCCUUCACAUUUGUUCUGGGCUUUAGACUUUGCAACACACAUUUCCUCACAUCAUCCUCAUGACGACUCUUCAACAGGCAGCUACUGUUUCUCUGAUGUUAGAGAUAAAAUGAGUCUCUGGAGGGUUUAGCAACCUGCUCAAAGUCACAUAGAUAAUUAGCAAGAUCAGAAUGUUAAAUCAGGUCUUGGGACUCCCAGUUCUAUCCUUCCACGAAGUCAGAGUGCAUCUGGACAGCUUUUAAGCUCCAAACAGCAUGUCUCCUGCGGCUUUUCUCACCUCUGCUCCCACCCCCACCAGGCAGAGACUUGAGCUCCUGGCUCCAUCUGCAAGAUGGCCCCAGUGGAAAGUUUGAAAGGUGGUUUGGUUUCACUGGCAGGUACAGUCUUCUGGACGUUAUGGCGGGCUUCUCCAUCACUGCCCUUCCCUCCCCAGUGCUCCUCCAAGAUAAGGCUGCAGCUCCCCCCCAACCCCCUGUUCUACCUGCACUCAUUUCCUGCCGGGUUCUGUUCAUUUCCAGCGCUGGCCUUUUCCAUGGGUGGGUGGACAGAGGAUAAAGUUUCCUGCAUGACUACUUGCUCAUGAUUCAUACUUUUUAAUAAAAGCACAACUGGUCAAAAAA